rnacentral:lncRNA from 1 species
GGGCAUCCAGGCGGCCGUGAGUCCUGAGCUGUGGGUUCUCAUCACUCAGCACCACGUUAUAACUCGCAGUAACUGCCAUCCUUUGAGCCACGGGUUUUAUUUCAGUAAUGUCGGCAGCGAAAGGCACUUGUAGCUGUGUCUACCCUAGACUCGGCGUGCUUGUGACACGCUGGCGCCCUGCCUGCCACACGUGUGCUCUCUCCUAGAGGUCCAGCCCGGGUCUGUGAACCCGCUCCCCCUUCUUGGCCCAGGCCCCCACACACAUACUCCCUGUGAGCCCAGCCUGGGCCCGGGACCGGGGUCCUGAGCUCAGGGUUUCUGGCAGUCCGCUCUUCUGAUUUUUCCUUCGUGGCUAAUUCUCCACCGAGGCGUCCUUCCUUCUCGUGGACUGAAACUCAGCUGUCGUCCCGUGAGAAAUGAGGAGCAGAGGUGACAUUUUGCAGGUUCUGAGGCAGCAGCAGAAUCCUAGGCCACGUUUGUCGACAGGAACACAGACUCUAGAAUUAUCUUUGGCUUGAGUCUCAGAGGCGGACGCGACGUGGCCGUUGUUCAUGCACACGCCCUGCAGGUGGCCCCACUCCGGUCCUGCUGCCUGUCCAACCCUCCUUGGCUGCUCUGACAGUGGCUCAGCGAGCGACCACUGUGAUUGUCAGGACCGCUGCUGUCCCCGUCGCCACGCUGGCCAGUGUGGAUGGCCUGGCUGUGAGCAUGGCUGACCACAGCUUUCUGUUGCCCCCAUUCAGGGUCCACCUGGCCCCCCAGGACCUCCGGGGCCCCCAGGCCUCCCAGGGACCCCUGUGUAUGACAGCAAUGCGUUUGUGGAGUCUCGCCCUGCUGGAACUCCGGGGUUGCCAGGGCUGCCGGGGCCUUCAGGACCAAAGGGUGACAAAGGAGAAGUGGGCCCGCCUGGCUCACCAGGUGAGUGGUCUGGGCAGCCUCAGGCCGAGGGGCUGCAUGUGUGCCACCUGUCCCUCCCUCCUGGAGGAAGGAAGCUCCUUGUGGGCGCCCGGAGCCCUAACAGGACCCCGGGCUGGGGCUGGACUCGGGGAUUCCCGGCUGGGCUGGCCCCACAGCCCCCACGGCCUAGGGGGGCGGUGCACUGCAAGGACAGUGGAGCCAAGGCAGUGGCCAGGCAGGGUGUCCUGUCAGCCCACCCACUGAGGAGCAGGGCACCCCUUGAGCAGGGGGUCCUGGGAUGCCCCUUUCUUCUCAUGGGCUGUACAGGGCUUCGUUGGAGCAGGC